UGACCAUGAUAGGUAAGGGGAAACAAGGAAAAGAGAAGAACAACCUUGGUGCAUGUAUUCUAUACUGUGAUACUUCAAUUUAGGAGUCUAGGGGGGCUGAUUAAGUGGUACUUAGGCUCAAAAGAAAAAGGAGCUUGAUUGACUAAGUUAUUUGUUGCUUGAGGACAAGCAAAAAGCUAGGUGUGGGGGUAUUUGAUCAAGCAUAAUUUAGCCAGAUUUUUAUCAUAAUUAUUAUUGUUUAUUUACACAUUUUUUACUUUAAUUUAUGGUUUUU
rnacentral:lncRNA from 1 species